rnacentral:lncRNA from 1 species
AUACUCGUCGCGUGGAAUUCAACAUCAACUCGGGAACGUCCAUGUCUUGCCCUCACGUGAGCGGUUUAGCGGCUCUCCUCAAGUCUGUGCAUCCGGAAUGGAGCCCCGCGGCAAUUCGAUCGGCUCUCAUGACCACCGCUUACAAUACCUACAAAGACGGCAAACCGAUCCUCGACGUCGCGACGGGAAAACCUUCAACACCGUUCGAGCACGGUGCAGGACACGUGUCGCCCACGGCGGCCGUCAAUCCAGGACUCAUCUACGAUCUAACGACGGAGGAUUAUAUAGAUUUCAUCUGCGCAUCGAAUUAUAAUUCGUCGCUGAUCACAAUCAUAUCGAGAGGCAAUUACGCUUGUCCAAGAAAAACGCACCCCGCAGCUGAUCUAAACUAUCCGUCGUUCGCCGUUAACGUCAAAGGAUCCGGCACGUACAAGUACACCCGCACUGUCACAAACGUGGGAGGAGCUGGGUCAUACUCGGUUAAAGUAACGUCGGAGACAACGGCAGUCAAGAUUUCGGUUGAACCGGCGGUUUUGAAUUUCAAAGAAGUGAACGAGAAGAAAUCGUAUUCGGUAACGUUUACCGUUAUCUCAUCUAAGGCGCCAAUGUCUAACAGCUUCGGGAGCAUUGAAUGGUCAGAUGGGAAACACGUGGUGGCCAGUCCCGUGGCGAUUAGCUGGACAUAGGUGGUCCAUGAAGAAAUAUGGCGACUUGAGUAAGAAGAAAGCAACAGAUAUUGUAAUUUCUCAUGAGCCUUGGAUAUUUAAUGAAAAGUAAAAAAUUGGUAAGUACUAUUUUAGCUGGCUAGUGUGUUAUGAAUAUUCUUAUUUACUAGGCUGUGGACAUUGUAGAUACUGACAAUUAUUAGAUUAGUUUAUGAGAUAUGAAAUAUACUAGGCACUUGAUUCACGUUGCAUGAAUGUGAACCACUCAACGUAGGAAACUAUCACUAAUCAAAUACAUCUAGUGUAUCAUAACAAUGUGAUUACGAUGAGUUAAAAAAUAUGAAUCUAAUAACAUAGAGAAAAAGUAGAAACGACUCUAAGAGCUAAUCAUAACCAACUAGAGGUUUCAUUUCAAGAACCAACAAUAACAAGUUCAUAAACAUGAGGUAAUAAAAGAUAUCAAUCGAAAUAAAUACCUAUCUUCAAACAAACUAUAAAAAUGUAUGGCUUUUGUUAAAAGCAAACUCACCUCUUUCCAGUACACAAAUUUGCAGAGAAAAAUCCAAAAAAAAAAAGAAAAGGAUAAAACAAAUUCACGAAUAGUAACUCAAUUUUGAUCAACGUCCAAUUAAAACCCUGAUAUGUAAUUUUAUUUUCAGAAACCCAUCGUGGCAUUAUCACUCAGAGACUAAUACAAUUGGACCAACCUGCCAGCUUCUGAUGUUGCUAUAUUUUUAUUUUUUUUCUGUUUUAUAAAAAUAAAAACUAAUGUUAAAAGAGAGAAUGUAUCCCUGUAUUGUUAACUAUUGAUAUGAUUUAGUUAGUCUGAUCUGAUGUGAAGACAUGUUAAUUCAUACCAUACAAACCAAAGUCUCAAAUUGCCACCCACAUUAUUUGGAUCCCAACCGUCAAAAGCAUUGGUUAGUUGGUGUCUUCGACGAAACUCAUUGAGAUCUUUGCAAAGUAGUUCGUUUCUUUGCUUCUGUCUUGUGAUGAGCCUUAAAGAUAUUAAUAGACUCACAACUUACAUAAACCCUAAACCUGAUUUUAAAGUUGAGGAGGAUCAUGAACUUUAAAGAUAUUAAUAGACUCAUAACUUUGCUUCUGUUUUGUGAUAAGUUACAGCAGCCGGACUAGGAUCUUCCACCAAUGAACCGAUGCAUGGCUCACACUAAUUUGCUUCUCUUAUCUAAAACAAAUUUCGGGGAAAUAAAGCGAUGAGUAGAGCUUAUUGAUGAUUUCCUCACUCCGCUCAGUCUCAGAAUCCGCUGAAAUGAUCUACACCUACAACAAUGCGAUACAUGGAUUCGCCACUCGGCUUACUCCCGGAGAAGCCGACUCACUCAUGACCCAACCUGGUGUCAUCUCGGUUCAACAAGAGCAGAAGUACGAGUUACACACCACUCGAACUCCAUUAUUCCUUGGUCUCGACGGACAAAACGCAGGACUAUUCCCCGAAACCGGCGCCUCAAGCGACAUAGUCAUAGGAGUUCUGGACACCGGUAUUUGGCCAGAGAGCAAAAGCUUCUCUGAUGAAGGAUACGGUCCAAUUCCAUCUACAUGGAAAGGCGAAUGCCAGGCUGGGACUAACUUCACCGCUUCGCUGUGUAACCGCAAACUAAUCGGAGCUAGAUUCUUCUCUGACGGUUACGAAAGAGAUUAUGGAAAAAUCAACCAAGCCGACGAGUCGAAAUCGCCGAGAGACGACUUCGGUCAUGGAACACACACGGCGUCAACCGCGGCUGGAAACGUCGUGAAAGGAGCUAAUUAUUUAGGCUUUGCUAGUGGGACGGCUAGUGGGAUGGCUCAUCGCGUCCGAGUGUCUGUUUACAAAGUUUGUUGGAAAAGUGCUUGCGUGAGCUCAGAUAUUUUAGCUGGAAUGGAUAAAGCCAUCGAAGAUAAUGUCCACAUUAUGUCAUUAUCUAUCGGUGGUAAAUCGACAAGUUAUACAGGCGAAAUUUCCAUGGGUGCAUUCUCGGCCAUGGAAAGAGGGAUCUUUGUUUCCUGCUCUGCUGGUAAUGAUGGUCCCAGCCCAUCCAGCUUAUCAAACGCAGCUCCCUGGAUUACUACUGUUGGUGCUAGUAGUAUUGACCGUGAGUUUCCCGGGGUUGUGAUCCUCGGCAACGGAAAGAACUAUACUGGAGUUUCGUUGUUCAAUGGAAAUGCUCUUCCUGCUAAAUUGUUGCCGUUUGUUUAUGGAAAUUAUUGUAGCCGCGGAACACUAAAUCCUGAGAAGGUAAAGGGGAAGAUCGUGAUGUGCAUCAAAGAUGACAGUGUAAGGACUGAGAAAGGGGAGGUGGUGAAAGCUGCCGGUGGACUCGGAAUGAUUCUGGCAAAUGCAGCAGGGAGCGGAGAAGAAGUUCUGGCGGAUGCUCAUGUGUUACCUGUGACCGCCGUGGGACAGAAAGCCGGUGACAUUAUCCGUCGCUACGUCUUGACCGAUCCGAAUCCCACCGCUUCCAUUUUGAUCAGAGGAACGGUCGUGAACGUCCGGCCAUCUCCGAUGGUUGCCGCGUUUAGCUCGCGGGGACCUAAUACGAUAACGCCAAACAUUCUCAAACCGGAUUUGAUAGCUCCUGGAGUCAAUAUCCUCGCCGCAUGGACCGGAGCUCUGGGUCCCAGUGGACUCGGAACCACUUCCGAUACUCGUCGCGUGGAAUUCAACAUCAACUCGGGAACGUCCAUGUCUUGCCCUCACGUGAGCGGUUUAGCGGCUCUCCUCAAGUCUGUGCAUCCGGAAUGGAGCCCCGCGGCAAUUCGAUCGGCUCUCAUGACCACCGCUUACAAUACCUACAAAGACGGCAAACCGAUCCUCGACGUCGCGACGGGAAAACCUUCAACACCGUUCGAGCACGGUGCAGGACACGUGUCGCCCACGGCGGCCGUCAAUCCAGGACUCAUCUACGAUCUAACGACGGAGGAUUAUAUAGAUUUCAUCUGCGCAUCGAAUUAUAAUUCGUCGCUG